rnacentral:rRNA from 1 species
CGCGUAGGCGGCCUUCUAAGUCGAACGUGAAAUCCCCGGGCUCAACCCGGGAACUGCGUCCGAUACUGGAAGGCUUGAAUCCGGGAGAGGGAUGCGGAAUUCCAGGUGUAGCGGUGAAAUGCGUAGAUAUCUGGAGGAACACCGGUGGCGAAGGCGGCAUCCUGGACCGGCAUUGACGCUGAGGCGCGAAAGCUAGGGGAAGGCAAACG